GUGCACGUUUCAUUGUCCCAUUCUUCCCUUGUAAGAACUGAGAUAUUUCUGAUGUGCUAGAUAAACCUUGGAGGUAAAUUAGCAGUUUGGUUUUUAAUGUGCCAGCACUGCCAGUCCCCUUCACACAAAA
ensembl:snoRNA small nucleolar RNA SNORA19